ensembl:misc_RNA 7SK 7SK RNA
GGAUGUGAGGUCUAUCUGACUGCGACAUCUGUCACCCCACUGAUCGCCAGGGUUGAUUCCAGCUGAUUUGGCUAGCUAGGCGGUUGUCCCCUUCCUCCCUCACCGCUCUAUGUGUGUCCCUCCCAAAGCUGCCCGCUCGGUCGAAGAGGACGGCCUUCCCGGAAUAGAGACAGACUGGUGUUCGGUCGACGGUAUAUGAGUAGCUGUGCUCUCCUGCUAGAACCUCCAAAUAAGCUCUCAAGAAAGUUGAAAGUAUGUGCUAAUUGAAACAAAAUAUGAACCCAUCUCUAACUUGACUAGCAACAUAGCUAUAUCAGGGUGAG